CUCCUACGGGAGACAGCAGUGGGGAAUUUUGCGCAAUGGGGGAAACCCUGACGCAGCAACGCCGCGUGGAGGAUGAAGUCCCUUGGGACGUAAACUCCUUUCGAUCGGGACGAUAAUGACGGUACCUGCAGAAGAAGCACCGGCCAACUACGUGCCAGCCGCCGCGGUAAUAC
rnacentral:rRNA from 1 species